UACGAGCGGCCCAAACGUUAUUCGGAAUUACUGGGCUUAAAGAGUUCGUAGGCGGACUUUUAAGUCAGGGGUGAAAUCCUGGAGCUCAACUCCAGAACUGCCUUUGAUACUGGAAGUCUUGAGUUCGAGAGAGGUGAGUGGAACUGCGAGUGUAGAGGUGAAAUUCGUAGAUAUUCGCAAGAACACCAGUGGCGAAGGCGGCUCACUGGCUCGAUACUGACGCUGAGGCACGAAAGCGUGGGGAGCAAACAGG
rnacentral:rRNA from 1 species